rnacentral:rRNA from 1 species
CAGUCGCCGCGGUAAUACGAAGGGGGCUAGCGUUGCUCGGAAUGACUGGGCGUAAAGGGUGCGUAGGCGGGUCUUUAAGUCAGGGGUGAAAUCCUGGAGCUCAACUCCAGAACUGCCUUUGAUACUGAAGAUCUUGAGUUCGGGAGAGGUGAGUGGAACUGCGAGUGUAGAGGUGAAAUUCGUAGAUAUUCGCAAGAACGCCAGUGGCGAAGGCGGCUCACUGGCCCGAUACUGACGCUGUGGCGCGAAAGCGUGGGGAGCAAACAGGAUUAGAUACCCCCGUAGUCCCUGUCUCUUAUAC